rnacentral:rRNA from 1 species
UACGGAGGAGGCAAGCGUUAUCCGGAAUUAUUGGGCGUAAAGCGUCCGCAGGUGGCGAUUCAAGUCUGCGGUCAAAGACUGGGGCUUAACCCUGGAAAGGCCGUGGAAACUGAAUAGCUAGAGUGCAGUAGGGGUAGAGGGAAUUCCCGGUGUAGCGGUGAAAUGCGUAGAGCUCGGGAAGAACAUCGGUGGCGAAAGCGCUCUGCUGGACCUUAACUGACACUGAGGGACGAAAGCUAGGGGAGCGAAUGGG